rnacentral:rRNA from 1 species
AGACGGAGGAUGCAAGCGUUAUCCGGAUUUAUUGGGUUUAAAGGGUGCGUAGGCUGUUUGUCAAGUCAGGGGUGAAAUGCCCGGGCCUAACCCGGGAACUGCCUUUGAUACUGGCAGGCUGGAAUACGGAUGCCGUGGGAGGAAUGAGUAGUGUAGCGGUGAAAUGCAUAGAUAUUACUCAGAACACCGAUUGCGAAGGCAUCUCACGAAUCCGUCAUUGACGCUGAGGCACGAAAGCGUGGGGAUCAAACAGGAUUAGAUACCCUGGUAGUCCACGCAGUAAACGAUGAUAACUAACCGUCGGCGAUAGAGUGUCGGUGGCCAAGCGAAAGCGAUAAGUUAUCCACCUGGGGAGUACGUUCGCAAGAAUGAAACUCAAAGGAAUUGACGGGG